rnacentral:rRNA from 1 species
GACGAACGCUGGCGGCGUGCUUAACACAUGCAAGUCGAACGAUGAAGCCUAGCUUGCUAGGUGGAUUAGUGGCGAACGGGUGAGUAAUACGUGAGUAACCUACCUUUAACUCUGGGAUAAGCCCGGGAAACUGGGUCUAAUACCGGAUACGACCAAUCUCCGCAUGGGGUGUUGGUGGAAAGCGUUAUGUAGUGGUUAUAGAUGGGCUCACGGCCUAUCAGCUUGUUGGUGAGGUAACGGCUCACCAAGGCGACGACGGGUAGCCGGCCUGAGAGGGUGACCGGCCACACUGGGAAUGAGACAAGGCCCCGACUCCUACGGGAGGCAGCAGUGGGGAAUAUUGCACAAUGGGCGCAAGCCUGAUGCAGCGAAGCCGCGUGAGGGAUGACGGCCUUCGGGUUGUAAACCUCUGUUAGCAGGGAAGAAGAGAGAUUGACGGUACCUGCAGAGAAAGCGCCGGCUAACUACGUG